rnacentral:rRNA from 1 species
UACGGAGGGUGCAAGCGUUAAUCGGAAUUACUGGGCGUAAAGGGCACGCAGGCGGGCUGUUAAGUGAGAUGUGAAAUCCCCGGGCUUAACCUGGGAAUAGCAUUUGAAACUGGGAGGCUUGAGUACUUUAGAGAGGGGUAGAAUUCCACGUGUAGCGGUGAAAUGCGUAGAGAUCUGGAGGAAUACCGGAGGCGAAGGCAGCCCCCUGGAAAUGUACUGACGCUCAUGUGCGAAAGCGUGGGGAGCAAACAGG